UAAGGUGGUUAUAGUACGAGGGAUCCACCUCUUCCCAUUCCGAACAGAGAAGUUAAGCCUCGUCACGCCGAUGGUACUGCUAUAUUGUGGGAGAGUAGGUAGCCGCCGUUU
rfam:Tannerella forsythia 92A2, complete genome.